AUUACCCAAUACUGACACAGGGAGGUAGUGACAAGAAAUAACAAUACAGGGCAAUUGUCUUGUAAUUGGAAUGAUGGUGACGUAAAAUCUCACCAGAGUAACAAUUGGAGGGCAAGUCUGGUGCCAGCAGCCGCGGUAAUUCCAGCUCCAAUAGCGUAUAUUAAACUUGUUGCAGUUAAAAAGCUCGUAGUUGAAUUUCUGCGUUGCCCGACUCGGCUACUUGCCUUGUCUGGUUUCGCUUUCGGGGUUUUCCCCUUUUUACUUUGAGAAAAUUAGAGUGUUUCAAGCAGACUUGUGUCUUGAAUACUUCAGCAUGGAAUAAUAAAGUAGGACUUUGGUUCUAUUUUGUUGGUUUGUGAACCUUAGUAAUGGUUAAUAGGAACGGUUGGGGGCAUUCGUAUUUAA
rnacentral:rRNA from 1 species